rnacentral:rRNA from 1 species
AACUAGUGCGAAAGCAUUUGCCAAGGAUGUUUUCAUUGAUCAAGAACGAAAGUUAGGGGAUCGAAGACGAUUAGAUACCGUCGUAGUCUUAACCAUAAACGAUGCCGACUAGGGAUCAGCGGAUGACGUUUAGCGUUGCCGCCGGGACCUUGCGAGAAAUCAAAGUUUUUGGGUUCUGGGGGGAGUAUGGUCGCAAGGCUGAAACUUAAAGGAAUUGACGGAAGGGCACCACCAGGAGUGGAGCCUGCGGCUUAAUUUGACUCAACACGGGAAAACUCACCAGGUCCGGACAUGGUAAGGAUUGACAGAAUGAGAGCUCUUUCAAGAUUCUAUGGGUGGUGGUGUAUGGCCGUUCUUAGUUGGUGGAGUGAUUUGUCUGGUUAAUUCCGAUAACGAACGAGACCUCUACCUGUCAUACUACGACAGCUGAUGAGAAUCGGUUGGCGUUCUAUGAGGGACUGACUGGGAUUACCAGUAGGAAGUUUGAGGCAAUAACAGGUCUGUGAUACCCUUAGAUAUUCUGGGCUGCACGCGCGCUACACUGAUGGAGGCAGCGAGUGUUACCUGUGCCGGAGGGUAUGGGAAAUCUUGUGAAACUCCAUCGUGCUGGGGAUAGAGCAUUGCAAUA